rnacentral:piRNA from 1 species
UGAGGAAAAUGGUCUGAGACUCUGUG